GACGAACGCUGGCGGCGUGCUUAACACAUGCAAGUCGAGCGGUAAGGCCCUUUCGGGGGUACACGAGCGGCGAACGGGUGAGUAACACGUGGGUGACCUGCCCUCAGCUCUGGGAUAAGCCCGGGAAACUGGGUCUAAUACUGGAUAUGACUCCAUGACGCAUGCUGUGGGGUGGAAAGCCUUGUGCGGCUGGGGAUGGGCCCGCGGCCUAUCAGCUUGUUGGUGGGGNGAUGGCCUACCAAGGCGACGACGGGUAGCCGGCCUGAGAGGGCGACCGGGCCACACUGGGACUGAGACACGGCCCAGACUCCUACGGGAGGCAGCAGUGGGGAAUCUUGCGCAAUGGGCGAAAGCCUGACGCAGCGACGCCGCGUGAGGGAUGACGGCCU
rnacentral:rRNA from 1 species